AGCGAGUGCGGAGGCUUACAAGUGGGGGUGAUGCUCUCAUGAUUUCUAAGCCUUUUAGACAGUGAAAAUGGGAUGCUGGUGACUUGUGAUCCUGGCAUCCUUUCCAUCGGGAGGCAGGUGAAUGCGUGAGUUGCUCUACUCCAGCAACAGUGAGAUGCCUGUUUUGAAGAAGUUAACCUAUAAGUUUCUGAGCGUCAGUACCUAAAGCUACUUGGUUUCCCAAAGCAUACGGGAUUGGUGUUAGUAAGGGUUUUUUCAGAUCCUGUUACCUAAAGCUCACCCUAAGCCUAACUAAGCUUUCUUCUUGUAGACCUUGUAAGGCUGAGUAAUCAGCUGGAAAUUCCAGAACGUAAGAGUUGAGGCUCCUGGAUGUCCAGACUCUCUGCUAGACUCUAUGUCAGAAUGUAAAAACAUUGUCACAUAACUUUUCAUGAGCAACUUUUAGUCGUCUUGUAUUAAGUCUACGUGGAAACGUCUGUUCUUAGUCUUAAAAGCCAGGAGUAACUUAAGGCAAACAGUUACUCUUCUUGUCUGGUGCUUAAGUUCCCUGGAAAUGAUCUCUGCUGAUCCGAGAAGUGGACCUGUAAGAAUGAUUUGUUACGCUUUCUGUGUUUUAAUGCAGGCCAGCUUUUCUGUAACACAGAGCCCAUUGGUUGGAAGCGUGCCAUCAACUCCUGGAUCAGGUAGAUGUCCUGUCAAAACAGAUAAUCGGCUCUCUUACUGCUUUCCUCAAUAGACAAAAAUCAUUGCUGCAUCAGCUCCUUGCUAAUUUAUGAAGGAGUGGCAUCUUUCUUUACUAGCUUUGCAAAAGGUACGUGGAUGUGAAAUACUUUUCCACUCUGAGAGCGACUGAAUUGCAAUCAACUUUACUUACGCCUUCUUCAAAAUGUGUUGUUGAACUGAGCACAGAGGUGGUUGUACUUGAGUGAAGCCACUGAGACGGAUGGGUCGUCUUCCGUCUUCAUAAAGUUUCCUAUCUUCUGUAUGAACCUGUGGCUUCUUGCUAAGCUUAAUUGUGCUGCCUUGUUCCUGUUUGGGGUCUGUGUUCAGCUGCUGGUGUCCAGGGCUGAAGGGGAAAGUUAGGGUGGGAGUCAUAAAAUUUCCUAGCGUGCUUGCAGACGUGAAGGUCGGGUUGAUUUGCUGGUUGUCUGUGUCUGCAGGUGAAUCUCCCCCAGGCUCUUCCAUAAGCAAAUGAAAUGCUUGCUACUGACUUGAUUCUUUCCGUGUAGGCUCCUAAGCUUGUCUGUCUGGCAAAAGUAAUUUGUGAAAGAAUGCCAUUUCAAUUUGACAGCUUCAAGUAUGUUCGGUCCUGCAAGCGUUGGGCAGCCUGGGAAGACGACUCUUUCUCCUGCUCAGCCAGAUCCUUUUCGUACUCGAGGUGAUUCCCAGAGGUCAGAGGAUCAAUGGGAUGCCGCAUGGGUAACUGUAUUUGGGUAAGUGGAUUUCCAAAGUAUUAGAAAAAUCAGGGCUGAAAUCUCGGCAACGUGUGGAAAGAGGUACUUGGACGUGCUCUUUUCUGGCAUUCCUAGGUUCUGCCGGAAAUACAGCUGUGGUUAAAGCCAGUAACUGCACCGAUGUUAGUGAAGCACCUCAACUUAAGCUGCCUGCUAUUUUUUUUUCAAGUUCGAAAGGCAGCCUUCUAACCAUCGAGGUGUGGUGAAGUAAAAGAGCCUAGCUGAGAAUAUUCCUCAAGUCGCUGCUUCUGAAAUGGCACGAACGCCCUUGGCUCUUUUGGAUUUCUGAAAACCCUUCAUAGGGUUCUGUUGUAGCACCAGACUCCAUAAACUACUCAUUGUAAUUUUUUGCAUAUUUUUUCCCAUGUUUCAGAUUUCCUCAAGCAUCAGCUUCCUAUCUUCUUCUACGAUUUGCUCAGUAUGGAAACAUAUUAAAGCAUGUGGUAUGUCUUAGCUUGAGAUUAAUUUCUGAAAAGCUUCUGGCUCGUUCUUUAAAAGGCUGAGUGUCACAGUUGUCCCUUAAUCUCACCUAGGUGUCCGACACAGGAAACUGGAUGCAUAUUUGCUAUCAGUCUAAGCUUCAAGCCCGGAAAGCCUUAAGCAAAGAUGGAAGAAUUUUUGGUGAAUGUAUCAGGAUUGGUGUCAAGCCGUGUACGGAUAAAGUAAGUUAACAGUUGUUUUUAUUGAAGUAGAAGGCACUGUGGUUUUGGGCUUCCUCUUUAUUUCUCCCGACGUCUUCUAUUUUUUCCGUUUUGAAUUGCAAAGCCUAGGAAGUUAACUUCUGUGGGCAGAGUCUCUCCUACCUUACAUAAGCGUUUGGCAUAAUUUCCUGCCGAGAAGGUUCACGAUUGGAAACUUCUGUGCUGCUUGGAAGUCACCCUGCCGCCACCAAACCAUGUUCCUUUCUUUUCAAUAGUGGCUGGAGUGGGGCUGGCUGUAUUUCAAGCUAAUUUGAUCACGGGCUAUUAGUUUUUAGGCGUCGACAGUGCUCUGCCCAUGAAUUCCUGCAACUCUUUGCAUUGGUUACCGUACAGGUGGGGGCUUCUGGUAGGGCUUCUGGUCUCUUCUUACCUUCUUUGCUGUUUUGGCGUCCAGUUUGUAUCAAUGACCGAAUUGCCCAAAAGCUGAAACUCGAGAAGCAACGAUCCAAGGCACGUAAUUGUCAGGUCUCUGGUCUUUGUUGCUUUGAAUUUUCUGUCUCUUGUGCACGGUGUGUCCACUUUCAAAUAGCAAUGAAUAAGCCCAUAAUCCUUAACCUGUAUUUUUGGAGGCAAGGGAGAAUUCUGGAGACUAAUGCGUUUGUGGGUUUGGCGUUAGUCUGUAAGGCUCGUCCUUGCAAUUGGCAACUAGAUAGCAUGGCUUUGACAGGAGUGCUUGGGCUUCUGAUUUAAAAGGAGCGGUUAGUUGCCCGGCUCAGUGCCCCCUGUGUUGAGCAGAGCGAGCUGCCGCCCCCACUGGAGACUACUCCUGUCCUGUGUUUUGGAUAGCCACCUCCUGCCAGAUGUGCUGCUGGAUUCCUGUUGUCUUGAGGCUGGUUGAAGGCUCUGCUCCGCUGAGUUGAAAUGUGGCAAAUUGGGUCUCCCCAGGCUGGUUGUCAUUUCCCACCUUGUUUGCUCUGGGCUCUUGGGGAACUCGUGGUUCCCAUCAAGUCACUCGCUGCCUCUUCCGUUUGACGUGCAUUCCCUUCUAAACACCAGCUUACAGAAACGGAGCCUUCUGACUGCUUUCUAGCGUUUGGUAAGGGGACUGAGUGAAACUCCUUGGCAAACUGAAUCUGAGCCAAGAGCUGCAAGCUGGUAAAGGAUUGGAGUCGCUCCUGUAGGGAUCGGGUCAAAGAUUUUGAGAAGUAUUUAGAAAGAGGUGGUUAUGCUGCGUAUGUUCAGCUGGGCCUGAGAAAAAGAUACUGCUUGAGGCUUGCUGCAAGUCUGACAAUUUUUCUAUUUUCUCUCUACUCUUUCAAACUUGGCUGCCACUGAGUACGUGCAGGGAAGAGAUUUCAAGCUUCCACUGCUUCGCAAUGGCAUAAUGCAACGUAUCAAUGCUUGCGGUGGGGGAAAUGCUUGGUGGUGCUCUGUACUGACAGGCAACGUACCCGUGGUCUUUGCUGACUUUGAGAUGCGAAGAUACGUUAUCAAAUGAUCCUAGAUAAUAGUUCUAGAUAAUAAGGGUUGAAAUACAGCUUUUUAGUAUCUGUUUACAUCAUGUCAUGCCUCUUUUUAAGACUGUGAUGGAAAACUUUGCAAGAAGCUCUGCGUCCCCGAUGUCUUCAGUUUUCACUCCACCUACAAAAUCCGUGGCCAGCACACCAGUACAGCCUGCAAACUAUACGACAAGGUUCCCCACAAUGAGACCUCUCGUACCACCAUAUAAAGCCUUCGCUAGUGACUACCAGGUGUUUUUGGACGGAGAAUCUCCUAGGAAAGGUGAAAGUAUGGCAUUUUAAACAAUGGAAUACGUGUUUGGCUGGUAACACACAGGAGGGAGUAAAACACCAAGUUGGUCAGGGUUUGAAGUAGGCUACUGGCGUCAGUGGUUAGUUGUAUAACUACUGGUGGCGGUAUUUUAACUUACGUCUCACCUGUUAUGCCUUCAGUUAAUUCAGCAGAUAUGUAGCUUGCACUUUGAAGGCUGGUAAUGUAGACGUGAUUUUAAAAACUGAGUAGGUGUAAAGAGAAGUGCUUUUUCCCCAUUUGUGCUCUAUUGUGUGAUUGUAGAAAACGUAUCAGCACUGACCAUUUUUUUCCCUCUGUAAUUACUUUCUGUAAAUUACUUCCCAGUAAGUUGGAAAUGUUUAAAAUGGGGGCUUUGUUUCCCGAUGCCUUUGAACUUAUUUUUUGUUUGGUUGUGUUUUGUUUUUUUUGUUUUGUGUUUUUUUGUUUUUUUGAAAGGUGGUGGACUCCUUGGAGGAAGAACACUGUGCACAGCUGGCUCCCCAGGACUGGGACUGUUCUUAGUAUUUGUGAUGUUAAUGUUUUUUUUAGCAUUCAUUGCUGUUUUAUAAUUAUCUCUGGCAUCAUGUUCUCAAUGUCAUAGCAACUUUUUAACUCGUUGUUUUAUAGAUAAAGCUAAAUAAAGUUAAGUUUUUCCUUGUAUUGUUUUUUAAA